rnacentral:lncRNA from 1 species
AGCCUGCCUUUCUACGUGAGUGUCCUGUGGGGUGGAGACUCGGGGUGGACUGCCUGGCUGUGCACUGUGGAGCAUGGUAGACCCAGUAAGACUUGGUCCCUACGCUAUGACAGAUGUCCUCAGAGUUCCCGGCACUGGGGCUUCUGCUGGGGAGGCUCAUCCUUCGUAUUGGGGAUCCUGACGAGGAGAUUGGCCAGGAGGCUCUGGACGGCAUCACCCUCCUCUACACCAUCCUGGAGUUCCAAAAACGACCCAGAAAUAAGGAAGAGACCAACAAGAAGGAGCUGUAUGAGAGCAACAAGCGCUUCCUGGGGCCCCACAACCCUGUCAACCCACGCCAGAACAUCUUGCGUGUGAUUUUGGAAUUUGGAGACUUCUUGGGCCCCCAGCAGGUGAAGGACCUACUGCUGGCAGCCGUGGAAGGGCUGAGUGGAGGCAUGGAGGCUCUGGGGAAGGACUCUGGGGAGACGAUGCGGCUGCCCUCGGAGGUCACGCUCAGCUCCGUGCUGAGGUGGUACCACCUCAGAACACUGGCGGUGAUCCCAGAAAUCAUGCAGGGCAUCCACGUGCAGCUGAGCCACAUCCAGGAGCCACGCGCCCGAGAGGUGGCCCUGCUUCCCGUCUCCUUCCUGGCCAGGUCCUUCAUGACUGAGGUCGUGGUGGCCCUGCUCAAGUGUCCCCUCCCCCUGAACAGCAGUGGAGCCGAGAUGUGGAGGCAGCUGAUCCUGCCCAAGCCCAGCUGUGGCGCUGCUGGAGACCUCCUGGAUCUGCUGCUGAGCACCCUGAAGGAGAAGCCAGUCACCAAGGAGGGCCAGGCCUCCACUGCGCCCCUGGCGGCAGCCAGUGGCCUGUGUGAGCUCCUGUCCAUCAACAGCUUCGCCAGGUGUGUGAGGUGCAUCUACCCCCAACUGCUCCUGGCCCUGCUCAUUCAGGUCCAUUACCACAUCGGCCUCAAGUUGCCUGGCCACAGGGUUCCUCACAAGGACACCAAGAACCAAGCACAGCCUCCCGCCUUCGUACC